rnacentral:rRNA from 1 species
UGGGGAAACCCAGGCUAAUACCGCAUACGUCCUACGGAGAAGGGGGUCCGGCUCCCGCUAUGGGAUGAGCCUAUGUCGGAUUAGCUAGUUGGUGAGGUAACGGCUCACCAAGGCCACGAUCCGUAGCUGGUCUGAGAGGAUGAUCAGCCACAUCGGGACUGAGACACGGCCCGAACUCCUACGGGAGGCAGCAGUGGGGAAUAUUGGACAAUGGGGGAAACCCUGAUCCAGCCAUGCCGCGUGUGUGAAAGAAGGGCCCUCGGGGUUGUAAAAGCACUUUCCAGCGAAGGAAAGAACGCCCUAGCGGUUUAAUACCCCGCUAGGAAAAG